rnacentral:rRNA from 1 species
AGCGAACGCUGGCGGCAGGCCUAACACAUACAAGUCGAACGAACUCUUCGGAGCAGUGGCGGACGGGUGAGUAACACGUGGGAACGCGCCUUCAGGUUCGGAAUAACUCAGUGAAACUUGUGCUAAUAACGAAUGUGCCCUUCGGCAGAAAGAUUUAUCGCCUUUAGAGCGGCCCGCGUCUGAUUAGCCAGUUGGUGAGGUAAAGGCUCACCAAGGCGACGAUCAGUAGUUGGUCUGAGAGGAUGAUCAGCCACAUUGGGACUGAGACACGGGGCAAAAUCCUACGGGAGGCAGCAGUGGGGAAUCUUGCGCAAUGGGCGAAAGCCUGACGCAGCCAUGCCGCGUGAAUGAUGAAGGUCUUAGGAUUGUAAAAUUCUUUCACCGGGGACGAUAAUGACGGUACCCGGAGAAGAAGCCCCGGCUAACUUCGUGCCAGCAGCCGCCGUAAAAC